UGGGUGCCAAGAUUCCAAUGGAUUCCUA
rnacentral:piRNA from 1 species